UGAUUAUAUGAACAGUGUGAAGCGAACUUUAAAUGACUUCAGAUUGCAUUAUACAGAGGAGCCGUGUUCCGUGAUAGCAUGUCAGAUCGGCAUUGAGAAAGGCUGAAGUGGAGAUGUUGGAAGAAUUAACGGCCAUGUCCUCCUCGAGUAGAGCUAAAUACCACAGCCUCCUGGCCGCAGCGAUCGUUGGGGUCAUCCCCUUCAUUCACAUAGGUGUCAUCCAUAAAAUGAUCUGGGUCCCAAACAAGACUCCGGUAAACAGAACAGGAUGUCGAUGUGAUUGUUUUGACACAGUCUAUAAAGG